AGAUGACUGGUCAGAAAAGUCCUCUCAAGACUCACAAAAUGCUAUUGAACAGAGGGAAACUUUUGAAAGAAAAUACGUUACUUGUGAAUUGUGUUUGCAGAAAGAUUUCAGAAGUUGUACGAAAAAUCCAGAUCAUAGAUUGUUUAUUAAUGUAGCAGAUUAUUGUAUAGAAACACUUCCAUCAAAUUAUCAGGAACUUUAUUCUCUAAUACAUUACUUAUGUGACUCAACUGUUAAAAUAAGUGUUACAAAUGUAAGUCCAUAUAGACCGGAGUAUUUUCCGAAAACAAAGAGUCCCUUUCCAUUGUAUAAGUCAGAAAAAAAACAGGAAAGUAGAUUUUCAACCGGCUUUAUUUAUGACAUUAUUAAAUACACUGAUGGAUAUAAAAGUUGCCUAUGUAGUGAUUGUAACAGUUCAGAUAAGCAAAAAAACAUUUGGUAUGAAAUUGUAAUGUUCACAGCAAGUCAUGUACUAUUUGAUAACAGUGAAACCGAAGGUGCAACCUGUACUUUGUUUUAUGAUAAUGAUAGAAGUACGGGCCCUGACUUAAAAGUUUCGAAAGUCUUAAAAACUUUUAUAGAAGACGAUAUUUGUAUUUUUAGCUGUUAUACUUGCGAUGCUGACCUCGCUAACAUAAUAGAAGGUAAUUGUAACGCAUUAGCUCAUCUAAGAAAAAAGACAUAUCAAAAACAUGUUAAUAUGAAGGACAAGAACAGCAUAUGCAUUAUAAUAUCGCAUCCACACGGAGCCUCGAAACAAAUUUGUAUUGGCGAAUAUUCAUUGCAUCAUGAAGUUGGAAAUUUAAAACAAAGAUAUACUUACACGACAUGUACAGGUCCAGGCUCUAGCGGUGCUUUGGUUUAUCAGUUGAAAGAUAAAUUAUUACAUAUACACACAGGUGGCUAUAAAGACCUCAAUAUCUGUACAACAGGAUUUGCUCAAUAAUGUUGAUACUCUAUCACAGCCUCAAUUGACAUUAAGUGAUAGCACAUGAAAAACCUCAGAGUACAAAGAUAUAGUGAGAAAUACCAAACUCAAUUGGAGUUAGUUGCUUCCAGUACUCGGUGCAAUAGCCUUUACAUGUACUAAAGAUUGUUACCAUUCGUUUCUUGCUUUGCUGCGUAUGUAAUUUACUUUGUUAUAUGUUAAGUUGUGCUCAUUCUAUUUAUGCAGCUCACACUCUAGCUUGGAUUUAUUUACUACAAAGGAUAUUAUGUUAUUUCAUAUCUAACCAGUGAUUUGUAGCUGAAGGCUUGAGGACACUGCAGUAUUUUAUUAAGAACUGUUUUUAGUAAAUAAACUUUAUCUUUGUCUGCUGAGAUCGGACUUAAUUCUGUGUAUAAUGAUAGUUAUAUUUAUCACAUACUAAAUGUGUAGCACAAGUUAACAGGCACAGAGAACGGCACAUCGUGAAGUUACACUCUCAGUGUAGACUUAUGAGAAGUGUUAUUACUGAUUAUCAGUGAUAACAGAAGCAUUCGGAGAGACAGUAAGUGGAGGGGACUAGGAGGUGGAUAAGAAAAAGGAGAAAACUAAGUUCAGCAACAUGCAUGCUCAUAUUUGCCAAAUUAAUAAAAAACUAUUUAAUGUAUUGAAUAGAUUUUGCAUUUUUAAAGGAAUAUACAUCUUUUUUACGUUUACAAUACCUCUAUUAUUGUCAGAACUUAAUGCAACCUGGAAUCUGGACUCAGAUCUCAAAAACGACUCUUACUAUUUUCCUAGAAAUUUAACAGUUGAUUUAAAACGUUUAGACUACUAGUUCAUUUGCCACACAGGAAAAAAUCUAGUUAUGAUGGUUAUACUUUUUCCAAAAUAAAACAAUAAAUUUAAGUUGGUGUGAUAAUGGUCUAGCAUAGUAUAAAUCUAAUCCAGCAUCGGUUUUCCAAGGACUAUCGAAGUUCUUGAAAAGACUAUCGCGUUCGAGAAUUUCCAAAUGUAAGGCUUUACAGAUUCCAGAGUUUAAUAAAUAAACGUUCUGGAAAAUGUUUAGAUCUAAAGCCCUAACAUUUGGAAUAUUUCAAAGUGUAGUAGAUCUAAACAUUAGCUUAAUUAGGAUUAUUUCUUGGGAGGUUAGGGGGAAAACGGCGGGGUAAAUAUGUCCCCUGUUUUUUUUCUUAAUUUAACAUUCAUUAGUUACUAAGAGAGAAACAAUAACUUUAUACGUUAUUUAAAUGAGGUAUUGUCUUUUUAAAAAAAUAUUUUAAUGAUUUCUUGUUUCAAUUUCAAUGUAUGUUGUUAUAAAUUGUUAAUAUUUUUUU